GGCAGCAGCUCACCUUAUCUCACUCAUCCGGUGCUCGGCUGAUGCAAGCGAUUCUCGCCGCCAUGGCCGCCCAUUCCAUCCUCGCCGUUCCUCCCCAGUUCCUCACAUCUCCCUCCCCUAUGCUCCCACCUCCUUCCUCCGCUCGUCCAUUCAACUCCUCCCUCCUCGGCCGUCCCCUCCGCUUCUCCGCCUCCUCCCUCAAGCUCGCGGCCUUCGGCACAUCCUCAAAGCCGCUGACCGUCGUCGCCGCUACUAAGAAGGCCGUCGCCGUCCUGAAGGGAAACUCCCAGGUCGAGGGCGUCGUCACGCUGAUCCAGGACGAUGAUGGUCCUACAAAGGUGCAAGUUCGUGUUACUGGACUUACCCCUGGACCUCAUGGCUUUCAUCUUCACGAGUAUGGUGACACUACCAAUGGCUGCAUAUCAACAGGUGCACAUUUCAACCCAGAUAAGAAGACACACGGUGCUCCUGAAGAUGAAAUCCGACAUGCGGGUGACCUGGGAAACAUAAUUGCUAACUCUGAAGGAGUAGCGGAGGCAACUAUUGUAGAUAGCCAGAUUCCCUUGAGUGGAUCUAAUGCGGUAGUUGGAAGAGCACUUGUGGUUCAUGAGCUUG
rnacentral:misc_RNA from 1 species